UGAGUAAUGCCUAAGCGCCAAAGUACAUACUUUGAUUGCAUAUAGCGGAACUUUCCCUCUUUUUCCAAACUCAAGUUUAGCUUCAACACUUAGACGAAAGAGUCUUUUUCCUUUUUUUUUCGAGCCGUCUCCUCAAGGGAUCAGACCCAUCUCCUCAAUAAACUUUUCCCCAAUUGAAUCAAUUUGAAAUCUCAAAUCACCAAACACCCAGACGUCUUCGUCUUUAGUUUUUCCUUGGUUUCCUUUUCGUUUCGAUUCACAGAAAUCCAAUCAAAGAUUACCUCCAUUACCAAAUUUUCUCCAAACCCUAAUUUAUCUGAAUCCCAAUUUCCUUUCAAUUUCGAACCACUCCCUCGUCGUUACCAGGCCGCCGUCCGGCUCCGAACUCUCGCCCAACUGCGUCAGGGUUGCAACUGCCUCUCCGAUCUAUCGCCGUUUCCACCACCUUCUCCUUCGUCAACAUCAGUACGACGAGCCCAGACCAAAAGAGGGAGAGAGAGUUCCUCUCGUCUCUCUAAUCACCUAAAUCCCUAAUCUUUUCUUCCCCCAAUUUUCCUUUCUUGGAGAAUCUAGGGUUUCUCUGAUGCUACAGAAGAUCAGAAAUUGCAAAAUUGAAGAGGAAGAGGAGGAGCAGAGUUGAAUUGAAGUUUGGAAGUGUUUUGAGUUUCGUUUGAUGGAAGGGGGGAGGAGGAUAUUGGCAAAUCCUCGGCCGUGUAGUGGUCGGAGGGUAGCAGCGGUGAGGAAACGACCCCGUAUUGGCGGUAUGAAUGGGGUUCGUUAACAGCGUUAAGAAGCUUCAACGAAGUGAAAUCAGUUCCAAGCGUGACCGAGCUAUCACUAUGAGCGAUGCCCGGGAGAGGUUUUACAAUAUUCAUCUCCAGUAUAUACAUGGUGUUUGCUCUAAAAACUAUACAAUGUUGUACUCCAUAUCAGAUACACAUGUCCAAGAAAUUAAGAUUAGUCCGGGGAUCAUGUUGUUAUUGGUUAAUAUCAUUUAUGGUUAUUCGUCUUUCCUUGUAUAUGUCAGGGGAACUAUAUACUUGAUCAUUUAAUAACGUUCUGAUGCAGCAGGUCAGCAAGGCACUUCUUGCAGAGUUUAUGACAGCUCAAAAGAGAAGCAAACCAUUUAAAGCUUUGGGAUCAGAACAUAUGAAUAAACCUUCCCCUGUCAUUCCAUCUAACCUUACAAGUUCUACUCUCCAAAGUCUCGAAUUUCAGCUACGUUGAGGACCUUGUAUGCAUUGAUUUGCUUGGAAGAGGAUGUGGCAUUCCUUUGAUACGGGUACUUAUCAACAGAUAAUGUUGCUGCCAUUAGGAAAGAAGUAAGCAGCCUCUGCAGGGAGCUACUACCUCAUGCACUUGCCUUGAUCAUAUUGUUCAAAUAAAGGAUGGUGCAUAGUUGGUGCUGGAAAGGCAGGUGGAGAGCUAGAUUUGAUCCCACAUCCCACCACUUCCUCCAACCAUUUCACCCAAUGUGAAGCUAAAAGUCCUGAUUUCUCUCAAGUAUUAUGUACCAAUUCAUUAUCAAAGUACUAGGUCGAUCAUUUUACUUUUGGGUUGUUUAGUGAACAUAUGCCACUUUGGCUUGUUAGGUUUCAUGAUUGUGGAACAAUGACUAAUAUGAAUGCAUAUUGGUGGAUCCAUUUGAUGA